rnacentral:rRNA from 1 species
UACAGAGGGUGCGAGCGUUAAUCGGAAUUACUGGGCGUAAAAGCGUGCGUAGACGGUUAUUUAAGUCGGGUGUGAAAGCCCCGGGCUCAACCUGGGAAUUGCAUUCGAGACUGAAUAGCUAGGGUACGGUAGAGGGAAGUGGAAUUUCCGGUGUAGCGGGUGAAAUGCGUAGAUAUCGGAAGGAACAUCAGUGGCGAAAGCGACUUCCUGGACCAGUACCGACGUCAGGCACGAAA